GUCGGGAAUUUUGGGCAAUGGGCGAAAGCCUGACCCAGCAACGCCGCGUGAAGGAUGAAGUAUUUCGGUAUGUAAACUUCGAAAGAAUAGGAAGAAUAAAUGACGGUACUAUUUAUAAGGUCCGGCUAACUACGUGCCAGCAGCCGCGGUAAUACGUAGGGACCAAGCGUUGUUCGGAUUUACUGGGCGUAAAGGGCGCGUAGGCGGCAAUUCAAGUCAUCUGUGAAAUCUCCGGGCUUAACUCGGAACGGUCAGAUGAUACUGCUUUGCUAGAGUGCGGAAGGGGCAAUCGGAAUUCUUGGUGUAGCGGUGAAAUGCGUAGAUAUCAAGAGGAACACCUGAGGUGAAGACGGGUUGCUGGGCCGACACUGACGCUGAAGCGCGAAAGCCAGGGGAGCAAACGGGAUUAGAAACCCGGGUAGUCC
rnacentral:rRNA from 1 species